AUCAGUGUCACCUAGAAACUCAGAGGAAGACAUUCCAUUUGACAAACCCAGUUCCAGGUUAGAAGCCCCAUAGAACUCACAGUACUGGGGUAGCCCAUGACAACCAGGGUAAAAUAGUCUUUAGAACCCUGAUGACCAUCAACUGUGACUUCUACUGCAGAUGCAGUUUAAACAGCUGACUUAAUUGUACAAAAGACAAAGUUAAUGAGGUGAAAAGAAGAAUAUGCUAACAAGAACAGUAGCUGUUGGAAAUGUGCUUUUCUCCCUACCACACACAGAUUAACUAAAACAUCUUAGACUUUCUUCUCAGCCCAGCAAUGCAAAGACUGAAAACUAUGUUGAUGUCUAUGAUUCUUUUGGCCAAACUCCUACAAAUCUCAUGUCUAGCUGCAUCGGGCUGAAUGGAACCCGACUCCUCGUUGGCAAGGGCAUGUUCGUCAUCCUGAGGCCGUGGCUUCUAUAAGCAGUUGAGACACAUUUAUCUACCAGGGAGGGGAAAUGCUACCAUCAAAACAUCACAUCAGAAGCUGUGACAGCACGGGGAGUCCUGAAGCAUUCCACAAUUGUGAUGAGAAAGGUGUGUGUCCAAGAUGUCACCUCUCUGGACACUCAGUUGGAUGUCCAGAGAGUCAACUGUGCCUCCCCUCUACUCCAAGCACAGGGAAACCUCAAGGUUAUCCAGCUUGACAGCAAUCAUCUAUGUCUGUCUCUAACCCCUUGGUUCCCUCCCCUAUCUUUGCCAUAAGCAGCCUUUCUCCUGUAUACUUGGGUCUGUGGAUUCAGCUGGAUAAGGGAGAGCCUGGAUUUCCUGGCUCGCUCUUGUCACCCUGUCAGGUUAUUUUUGCUUUGUCACACGGUCCAGCUAAAUCAGAAAUCUGCACCUGUCCCUUUGUCUUUUCAAGUCAGCAGAAUAGCACAUUGUUCCUUUUCCAUUGUCCCAAAGCAGACCUCCACCCCCCAGAGGGCGUGCUUUCCUGUCACCUGCCUUGCUGUCAGAGCUGACAGUCUUCAACCACCUGGUUCCUGUGGCUUGAAAGCAAGUGCCCUUGCCUUAUCCAGCUUAAUGCUUUUUAAACUGCUACCUCCUAUUAUUUGGAAUCUCCUUGUCUGAGAAUUGUGCUACAGAGGAAGCCUGGGUGGCUAUUUAGAUUUCCCUGUCUAUGUCUAACAACAUGUAGCACAUUGACUUGAGAAUCUCACUGGGAAUAUAAAUCACGUAGACAAUUUCUCAAAGACAAGCCCUCAGGCCAGUUUCAAUGAUAUACAGUUUAUUGAUACUGGAUGUGACCCUGGACUCUUGCUGUAAGUAUCCAUGUGUCCUUGACCCUGCAAGUUUAGCCCCAUACUGUGGAGUGAUGCCUUGGUGCAGCUGUCACUCUGAGUGGAUCCUCUAUUCCUUUUGUAUCUUGAGCUGUUACAAGGAAGAAGUUUGUCUCCAGCUUCCUAUAUUUGUGAGUUGCACAAACAUCCUGCGGUGUAGCAUUAGCAGAAUUUUGCAAACAAAUUUUAACUCAACAUUCCACUCCUUAGAAGAGAAUUCAACACUUAACAACAUUUAAAAUAAUGUCACCUUGGAAAUGAGUAUCAAGUGAUCUUGCCGGAGGUCUGGUUGGUAAAGCCACAGGCAAAUAGAGCCAGGUAAUAUCUAGCACCUUGCCAAUAAGUCAUGUCCUGUCUUUACUUCAUCAGAGCACAGUGUGUGACCUUCUGCUACUUCCAAAUGCUAGUAAAAACCUCUCAGAACUCACAGAUGAAGCUCUAUUAUUAAUUAAUUAAUUUAGUAAUGUUUAUUUCCAUGAAAUAAAAAUUUAAAAGCGCUAUACAAAAUGACUAAGGACUUGCUUGCUAAAGGUAUGGUUUGUGGCUAUUUUGACAUAAAAUGCAUUUUAUUAUUUAAAAAUAAUUCAUUACCCAGUGAACAUUAUGAAGCAGAGUACAAGUGAGGUGUCAGUUUGAACACAAAGUCCCCACACAGCCUUUGAUGUGGCAUGUGUAUUUCUUGCACCAAGCUCAUUAUGGAGUGCUACCAUGUCUCGAUGUUAUUUGUAGAUAACCAUAGAAUGAUUUCAGUUUUUAAAGAAUGUUUUGAUCAAUAAAUAAUCACUAAACCUAAA